CUUGGCAAGGUGAGUGUUUUGGCCGGCGCUGGUCAGUCUUGCCCCACGCACUCUGGUGGUGAUAAGUGUUUCCGUAUUCCCGGCAGCUUCUCCCUGUACCAAGCACCGCCACGCAGCACCAGAGAGCCAUGAGUACGUAAGUGAGCUGGCUGGAGUUGUGAAGCGAGUGUGGCAGCAAGCCCUAUGCUGCCGACAGUGAUGUGUUGGGAGGCCGCAGCAAAGUGUGCGUGGAAGAUUCCAGUGGAAGCAGCAGUCUGUGUGGCGGGGCCUUGGGGGGGUAAAGUCUUGGCCUGGCCACCCUGCCUGUGACCUGUGGCCUCUUGUUGCUUCACCAUGUUAAGAGGGUGGUGUUGUGAAGCUGGUGGCACAGGAGCUGACCAGUGCUGCAGGAAGACAGCACACAGCUUCAGUAUCUUCCAUGAUAGUGUUUAAAUAUACUGUGUUGGUUUGUUUAUUAGCAGUCAGAUUAAUUUGCUUUGCUUAGUCUUCAUUUAUUCUUUAUUUAUUGUUGGCAUAUAUAUAAUUGUUUAAUCUUU